UGGAGCCUGCGGUUUAAUUGGACUCAACGCCGGGCAGCUCACCGGAUAAGACAGCUGGAUGAUAGCCGGGCUGAAGACUCUGCUUGACUAGCUGAGAGGAGGUGCAUGGCCGUCGUCAGUUCGUACUGUGAAGCAUCCUGUUAAGUCAGGCAGCGAGCGAGACCCACGCCAACAGUUGCCAGCAUGUCCUCCGGGAUGAUGGGGACACUGUUGGGACCGCCUCUGCUAAAGAGGAGGAAGGAAUGGGCAACGGUAGGUCAGCAUGCCCCGAAUUAUCCGGGCUACACGCGGGCUACAAUGGUCAGGACAAUGGGUAUCGACACCGAGAGGUGGAGGCAAUCUCCUAAACCUGUCCUUAGUUCGGAUUGUGGGCUGCAACUCGCCCACAUGAAGCUGGAAUCCGUAGUAAUCGCGUUUCAAAAUAGCGCGGUGAAUAUGUCCCUGCUCCUU
rnacentral:rRNA from 1 species